UUACAAUCCACCAACCUAAGAAUGAAGAAGACUCAUUAGCAGGCCUUCAAUGGUGGCUCCUACCGAAAUCGAAAUGCCAGCUCAAAUGGCUAGGCUUGUAAGCUGAGCUUGAGCUGGUGAUUGACUUGAUAUGAAAUUGGAACUGUAUGAAUGAAUGUAUUGCAGUGGUAUGCAUAGAUGAAGUUGUAGAGCAAUUGCAGAUGCUGGUUGUUACAAUGGCUGCGACAAUGUGUUUGAGGUUCCUUGCUAAGAUGUUACUGCCAAAAGGUUCA